rnacentral:rRNA from 1 species
UACGGAGGGUGCGAGCGUUGUCCGGAAUCACUGGGCGUAAAGGGCGCGUAGGCGGCGCGGGAAGUCAUCGGUGGAAGUUCAGGGCUCAACUCUGAAUCGGCCGGUGAUACUCUCGUGCUUGAGCACUGUAGAGGCAGGUGGAAUUCCGGGUGUAGCGGUGGAAUGCGUAGAGAUCCGGAAGACACCGGUGGCGAAGGCGGCCUGCUGGGCAUUAACUGACGCUGAGGAGCGAAAGCUGGGGAGCGAACAGG